AUGGCCUCCAACCAGAACCAGGCGAGCUACGCGGCCGGCGAGACCAAGGCCCGCACCGAGGAGAAGACCGGGCAGAUGGUGGGUGCAACCAAGGACAAGGCGGGGCAGGCCACGGAGGCCACCAAGCAGAAGGCCGGAGAGACAGCCGGGGCCACCAAGCAGAAGGCCGGCGAGGCCAAGGACAAGACGGCCCAGACGGCGCAGGCGGCCAAGGACCGCGCCGCCGAGAGCAAGGACCAGACCGGCAGCUUCCUCGGCGAGAAGACGGAGGCGGCCAAGCAGAAGGCCGCCGAGACGGCCGAGGCGGCCAAGCAGAAGGCGUCGGAGGCGGCGCAGUACGCGCAGGAGAGGUCCUCCGACGCCGCGCAGUACACCAAGGAGUCCGCCGUGGCCGGCAAGGACAAGACCGGCAGCGUGCUCCAGCAGGCCGGCGAGACGGUGGUGGGCGCCGUGGUGGGCGCCAAGGACGCCGUGGCGAACACGCUGGGCAUGGGUGGUGACAAUGCCACCAAGGACACCACCACCAGGAAUCACUAG
rnacentral:rRNA from 1 species